UACAUGCAAGUCGACGAGAACGACCGGUGCUUGCACUGGUCAAUCUAGUGGCGACGGGUGAGUACACGUGGGUAACCUGCCCAUCAGAGGGGGAUACAUUCGGAAACGGAUGCUAAAACCGCAUAGGUCUUCGAACCGCAUGGUUUGAAGAGGAAAAGAGGCGCAAGCUUCUGCUGAUGGAUGGACCCGCGGUGCAUUAGCUAGUUGGUGAGGUAACGGCUCACCAAGGCCGUGAUGCAUAGCCGACCUGAGAGGGUGAUCGGCCACAUUGGGACUGAGACACGGCCCAAACUCCUACGGGAGGCAGCAGUAGGGAAUCUUCCGCAAUGGACGCAAGUCUGACGGAGCAACGCCGCGUGAGUGAAGAAGGUUUUCGGAUCGUAAAACUCUGUUGUUAGUAGAAGAACAAGUGCUAGAGUAACUGUUAGCGCCUUGACGGUAUCUCAACCAGAAAGCCCAGGCU
rnacentral:rRNA from 1 species